rnacentral:rRNA from 1 species
GCGUUAACGAACGAGACCUCGACCUGCUAAAUAGUUCGACGAAGGAUUCUUCCUUUGGUGCGUGACUUCUUAGAGGGACUAUCGGUGUGUAGCCGACGGAAGUUCGAGGCAAUAACAGGUCUGUGAUGCCCUUCGAUGUUCUGGGCCGCACGCGCGCUACACUGAUGCAUGCAUCGAGUCGAAUAAAUAACCUUGACUGACAGGUCUGGGGAAUCUUUGCAACAUGCAUCGUGCUGGGGAUAGAUGAUUGUAAUUAUUCAUCUUCAACGAGGAAUUCCUAGUAAACGCAAGUCAUCAACUUGCAUUGAUUACGUCCCUGCCCUUUGUACACACCGCCCGUCGCUAAUACCGAUUGAAUGGCUG